GGCAUCGUAAUCUCACUUCAGUCAAAAAAAGGGAACGCGGCUAUUGGGGGGCAAAUUUAGGUCCCGGAUGUGUAUUCGUGUUCCCAUUGGUGACGAGUUUCAAAUCAGCCAAUGACAGCACGAUUUUAUAUCCGGGACUUGAAUUUGCCCCCCAUUAGCUGCGUUCCCAAUUUUUAAACUCGAUGCCUCCUCUAGUGUUAUUUAUAAUCUCUAUGA